rnacentral:lncRNA from 1 species
CAAGGAAUUCCAAUGUCUCUUCAUAAACACGCCUUUAUCAUACACCGAUUCAAUACUAACUCACACCAAUAAUCAAUAUCAUUAUCAUCUUAGAAUUUGAGAAAUUAAAGAUCUCAUUUAUCAAAACUUUUGUAGAAAAGAUAUCAUGAUAAUAUCUCACUGAUGAGAAAACAAUCAAAAGAAUCUUUAGUUGAAGAGAGGUAUUGCCAAGGUCUUCUCAGAUUUUCGCUCUGCUUCAAUAAAUCAUUGUUCGAUAUAUAUCUUCUUUUCAACGUUCUCGAUAAUCGAUCGAU